rnacentral:rRNA from 1 species
GUGCCAGACUCCUACGGGAGGCAGCAGUGGGGAAUAUUACACAAUGGGGGAAACCCUGAUGCAGCGACGCCGCGUGAGUGAAGAAGUAUUUCGGUAUGUAAAGCUCUAUCAGCAGGGAAGAAGUUGACGGUACCUGAGUAAGAAGCCCCGGCUAACUACGUGCCAGCAGCCGCGGUAAUACGUAGGGGGCAAGCGUUAUCCGGAUUUACUGGGUGUAAAGGGAGCGUAGACGGCAGUGCAGGUCUGAAGUGAAAGCCCCGGGCUUAACCCGGGAACUGCUUUGGAAACUGUACGGCUGGAGUGCUGGAGAGGUAAGCGGAAUUCCUAGUGUAGCGGUGAAAUGCGUAGAUAUUAGGAGGAACACCAGUGGCGAAGGCGGCUUACUGGACAGUAACUGACGUUGAGGCUCGAAAGCGUGGGGAGCAAACAGGAUUAGAUACCCUGGUAU